GAUUUCUGGCGUGGUGUGUCGAGCCCGCCCUCCGGGGUGAGUGCUUGUUACAUGCCUGCCAUACUUCGGGAGUGCUGGGCGCUGGGGCCGCAAGGUUUCGGUGUCCGUCAAGGCGCUUCCGAUCUUUUACUUUGAAAAAAUUAGAGUGUUCAAAGCAGGCUUAACGCUAUGAAUACAUUAGCAUGGAAUAAUAAUUUAGGACUUCGGUUCUAUUUUGUUGGUUUCUAGGACUGAAGUAAUGAUUGAUAGGGACAGUUGGGGGUGCUAGUAUUCCGCGGCCAGAGGUGAAAUUCUUGGAUUCGCGGAAGACUAACUACUGCGAAAGCAUU
rnacentral:rRNA from 1 species